UUACUGGAUAGUGUCAUGUUCACCCACCAGCCCAUUUAAGAUGAUUGUCAGCAGCUCCUCCGAAUCUUGUUUACCACGGAGGAGCGAGAGGGAAUACAGGCCGGCGUAGGACUACAACACGGCAGAAGGAGGCUGGCCACUGGGUAAGAGACUGCCUCGCUACUGCCCAACCUGGACCUGGACGCCCCACUCCACGACUGCACCGAGGUACUAGCUCAGGUGCACGGAGUUCGAGAAGACCUGCAGGAUCG